rnacentral:lncRNA from 1 species
GUACAUGAAAAGUGCUUGGAACAAUGGAGAGUACAUAAUAAGCCUUCUAGAAAUCCUAGCUACUAUUUUCAGGGGGUGAGCAGGAUUGAGUAGGGGAAAUGGGAAGAAUGAUGAAAAACUGAAGAUGCGAGUACAUUUGAUACCAAAUUGAUGCUGAAUAUCUUGGCAGGUCCUGUGAAUCAUCAUGCUUUUAUGACCAUCGCUUCCCACUCUAUGCCCUGAGGUCACAGGGGUAGAACAGCUUAUAAUGACUCUCUACUAAUUCUGUGGCAGAGAAAAUAGGAAAACUCUGAGUGAGGAGACGCCUCUCUGCAGUGUCGGAAGUGAAAAAUCCUUAUCAAUUUUUCAGGGUGUAGUUCUAAGAGAAAGAGGACAUCAUCCUUUCUCACUUGAUGCCCACAGUUUUUCUCUCCUGGCAGCAGCCAUAGCUCCAGGUGGAAAAGGCAACCUACUCAUUGAGGAAGUUCUAACCUCUGCAGUCCGGGCUCCCUGGAAGAGGAAACAUGCCACCUGAGGACAGAUAACUGGUGAAAUUCAAUGUAGCAGUGUGUGUUCCCUGCUCUAUGAGCAAGAGAUGACCUCAGGCUGGAGUUAACCAGUCUGCACAAGAGUUAAAAAGAAGUGCUGUAUUGCUCAGGUAGGUGUUCCCCGCCUGAAGUCUGUGAUUUAGGUCUUGUAAAAUCUAGUACCUUUGCAGUUUUGUUGAGUUGGAAGUCAAUGAU